AUAGGACUAGCGGACGGAUAGAAAUCUAUGAACGGAAAAUUUACAAUCGAACCAAGCCACAUUACAUCUUGGGAAAUAUGAACGGGUCUCGGGGGAUCUGGAAAUGUUAUUAUGAUAAUUCAGGUUGACAAACCUGCGUCUGCAUCAGAAUAUGAAAUAAAUAAAUUCCGUGUCGGGUUCGCGCUUCUACCAGAUUGGUGCUUUCUUCUGAGGAAACGAAAUCGGAAAGAAAAUGCAUAAAAUAGUAUUGGUUACCCUGCUGUCUUUAUCGGUUUUCAUCUGUCAGACACAUGGUUUGGGAAUCCAGAAUAUUAUCUGCAGUACUCAAUGCAGAUUACGAUUUAACCAUUGUAUGGACAAAUGCGUUUUGGAGAAUGGAAUUAUGAAAGAUUACGACAAUGGAUAUGAAGAUUGCACGCUCAUAUGUACUCAAUACCUCUCCCAGUGCACGUGUUCCAUGUCGUACAGAUAGGAGAUGGGCCUCGGAGUUUGGUCUCGGUGAAAGUUUAUCCACAUUCCGAGCGCUAUAUAUCCCGUUUAAAAGAUUAGAAAUCAUAUAAAUUUAUUGCAAAUCGAGUGACUAAUUUCAAUGUAUUUUUAUAAUGUUUUAAAGAAAAUCGGUUUAUUAUUUAAACUCUGUCGGUACAAAUAAUGUUGUUGCUUAGAGUUUAUAUUUUGUAUUAAAAAUGUAUUAUAAAAAACAAUAAAUAAGAGCGCUUGGGAAA